GAUGAACGCUAGCAGAACGCCUAACACAUGCAAGUCGAACGGGUUUCUUUAGGUAGCAAUACUUGAUGAAAUUAGUGGCAAACGGGCGAGUAACACGUACUUAACCUACCCUGGAGACGAGAACAACUACGGAGGCGUAGCUAAAUCUCGAUACGCUGUAAGAAAUGAAAAUACUUACAGGAAACAAUUUUUUGCUCUAGGAGGGGGGUGCGGCCUACCAGGUAGUUGGCGGGGUAAUAGCCCACCAAGCCAUGACGGGUAGCCGGUCUGAGAGGAUGUCCGGCCGCAAUGGAACUGAGACACGGUCCAUACCCCGUACGGGGGGCAGCAGUGGGGAAUAUUGGUCAAUGGGCGCAAGCCUGAACCAGCGAUUCUGCGUGAAGGAUGAAGCAUUACGGUGUG
rnacentral:rRNA from 1 species